rnacentral:tRNA from 1 species
CUGUUAUAGCUCAGCGGUAGAGCACUUCCUUGGUAAGGAAGAGGUCCCGGGUUCAAGUAAGCUGAUUAUUAAUCA